AGCAGCCGCGGUAAUUCCAGCUACAAUAGCGUAUAUUAAAGUUGUUGCAGUUAAAAAGCUCGUAGUUGAAUUUCGGGGUUUGUCCAUCGGUCGGGCUUUAUUGUCCGUACUGGUGUGAUGAAUUCAUACAUUAUGAAUAACCUUCAUGUCAUUUAUUUGGUGUGUUGGAGAAGCAGAGCUGUUACAUUGAAAAAAUUAGAGUGCUUAAAGCAGGCAAGUGCCUGAAUACAUUAGCAUGGAAUAAUGAAAUAGGACGGCAUGGUUCUAUUUUGUUGGUUUCUAGGAUCACCGUAAUGAUUAAUAGGGAUAGUUGGGGGCAUUAGUAUUCAAUUGUCAGAGGUGAAAUUCUUGGAUUUAUUGAAGACUAACUUCUGCGAGAGCAUUUGCCAAGGAUGUUUUCAUUAAUCAAGAACGAAAGUUAGGGGAUCGAAGACGAUAAGAUACAGUCGUAGUCUUAACCAUAAACUAUGCCGACUAGGGAUCGGACGAUGUUAAUUUUUUAAUGACUAG
rnacentral:rRNA from 1 species